AAGGAGGCUGCAUACGGGUAGGCGAGGUCAAGGAAGCUGGAGAUGGGUAGGCGAGGUGAAGGAGGCUGCAGACGGGUAGGCGAGGUCAAGGAAGCUGCAGACGGGUAGGCGAGGUCAAGGAAGCUGGAGAUGGGUAGGCGAGGUGAAGGAGGCUGCAUACGGGUAGGCGAGGUCAAGGAAGCUGGAGAUGGGUAGGCGAGGUGAAGGAGGCUGCAGACGGGUAGGCAAGAUCAAGGAAGCUGGAGACGGGUAGGCGAGGUCAAGGAAGCUGCAGACGGGUAGGCGAGGUGAAGGAGGCUGCAGACGGGUAGGCAAGAUCAAGGAAGCUGGAGACGGGUAGGCGAGGUCAAGGAAGCUGCAGACGGGUAGGCGAGGUCAAGGAAGCUGGAGAUGGGUAGGCGAGGUGAAGGAGGCUGCAGACGGGUAGGCAAGAUCAAGGAAGCUGGAGAUGGGUAGGCGAGGUGAAGGAGGCUGCAGACGGGUAGGCAAGAUCAAGGAAGCUGGAGACGGGUAGGCGAGGUCAAGGAAGCUGCAGACGGGUAGGCGAGGUCAAGGAAGCUGGAGAUGGGUAGGCGAGGUGAAGGAGGCUGCAGACGGGUAGGCAAGAUCAAGGAAGCUGGAGACGGGUAGGCGAGGUCAAGGAAGCUGCAGACGGGUAGGCGAGGUCAAGGAAGCUGCAGACGGGUAGGCGAGGUCAAGGAAGCUGGAGAAGGGUAGGCGAGGUCAAGGAAGCUGGAGAAGGGUAGGCGAGGUGAAGGAGGCUGCAGACGGGUAGGCGAGGUCAAGGAAGCUGGAGAAGGGUAGGCGAGGU